GUAGGGAAUAUUGGGCAAUGGUCGGAGGACUGACCCAGCCAUGCCGCGUGCAGGAAGACGGCCCUCUGGGUUGUAAACUGCUUUUAUCUGGGAAGAAAAAGGCCAUGCGUGGCAAAUUGCCGGUACCAGAUGAAUAAGCACCGGCUAACUCCGUGCCAGCAGCCGCGGUAAUACGGAGGGUGCGAGCGUUGUCCGGAUUUAUUGGGUUUAAAGGGUGCGUAGGCGGCUGAUUAAGUCAGCGGUGAAAGACUUCGGCUUAACCGGAGCAGUGCCGUUGAUACUGGUUGGCUUGAGUGUCGGAGGGGUACAUGGAAUUGAUGGUGUAGCGGUGAAAUGCAUAGAUACCAUCAGGAACACCGAUAGCGAAGGCAUUGUACUGGCCGACAACUGACGCUGAUGCACGAAAGUGUGGGGAUCGAACAGGAUUAGAAACCCGGGUAGUCC
rnacentral:rRNA from 1 species